rnacentral:sRNA from 1 species
CCCAGAAUUGAGCAUUUAAGUAUCGGUCUAAGCAUAGAAUAAGCAGCGGCCAACUUCUUUUCUCUUGUGGCUGCUAAGAUAAGCGCAUCGCUCGCGGUUAAACUCCAGUAUAUAUUUAACCCCCGGAAAAAAAAAAGACACGUGGUGGGGAAUUUCCACAUAAGUUUCCCAAAACUAAACGCAGAGGGAAGUGAGCAGCGCUCAGUGUAUUAAAAGUGAAUUACAUUUUUGCGGUGCCAAUUCAAGGUCGAAUUGGCACCCAGUAAGAACCCAUUUGUGUAUUGUUCUUACAUUGGGAAUAAGUAUACAAUCCCCCAAGCAGCCAGUUUACCCUAAGAAGGGCUUCCAGCGCCACGCCGCGGGAUCUGAUGGAUUUAUUAUAAAUUAGUAUUCAUCGCUCAACCCGACAAAAGAUCUUUUGGACGUGGAAAUUAAACUCGAUGUAAGUGAAAAAAAAAACUCAUUACCCCAAAUUAAAUAUUGUUGGUGGUUAGGCUGAUUUUUCUCAGUGUAAUAAAAGCUUUACCUGAAAGAUUUUUAUCUCCCAUACGGUAAAAUCGAACCACGCGGUUGCAAUUAAAUACCGAACACCGGU